rnacentral:tRNA from 1 species
CCCUGGGUGGUAUAAAUGAUUAAUGCACUUGGCUGCUAACCAAAAGUUUGGAAGUUCAAGUCUACCCAGGGC